CCUACGGGAGGCAGCAGUGGGGAAUAUUGCACAAUGGGGGAAACCCUGAUGCAGCGACGCCGCGUGAGCGAUGAAGUAUCUCGGUAUGUAAAGCCCUAUCAGCAGGGAAGAAAAUGACGGUACCUGACUAAGAAGCCCCGGCUAACUACGUGCCAGCAGCCGCGGUAACACGCGGGGGGCAAGCGUUAUACGGGUUUACUGGGCGUAAAGGGAGCGUAGGCGGCUGUGCAAGCGAGAUGUGAAAGCCCGGGGCUCAACCCCGGGACUGCAUUUGAAACUGUGUGGCUGGAGUGUCGGAGAGGCAGGCGGAAUUCCUGGUGUAGCGGUGAAAUGCGUAGAUAUUAGGAGGAACACCAGUGGCGAAGGCGGCCUGCUGGACGAUGACUGACGUUGAGGCUCGAAGGCGUGGGGAGCAAACAGGAUUAGAUACCCCUGUAGUC
rnacentral:rRNA from 1 species